rnacentral:lncRNA from 1 species
CACGUGAUCAUAUUUUAAUUAGCAAAGAUUUAUUGAGAGUCAUCGGUCAGAAGUGGGGAAAACUGAAGACAAAUUUAAGAGAAACUUCCACCCAAUAAAGAAAAUAAAAAGAAGGAAGGUGGAAAGAUGGAGAUGCCAGAAGACACUCCUUCAGGGCCUGUGUAGUGGAUAAUGAGACACAACACAGCAAAAUCCGCUUCUUGCUUCUUCCACAUGGAAGAUGAAGGAGGAGAUCUAGAAAGAAAAAGAGAGAACUCCCUCCGGGGCAAGACUUGGUCUCAGCUUGUGGCAGUGCGAGCAGAUGUGGACAAGUGGGAAACACUUGGGCAGUGGCCUGGAGUAAGAGCCCUUGCUCAUCAUCUCCUCACACCCCUGUCAUGCACUUACUUGUUCCUGAACAGCUGGGCUGCAGGCAGGAGGAAAGGUAACCACCAGAUCAGCCUUCAUGAAGGGAGACCGAGGGAGAGAGGCAAAAGACGCAGAGAACAACAUUCAAAUGCAGCCCAGGCUCCACUUUGGGGAAAGGCCUUCUUGAUUUGCUGGGGCCACGUGCAAUGAAUGGCACAUGCACACGGUUAAUGGAGGUUUCCACCGGGAGUCUAGGCGUGUGGAUUCUUCUACUCCCUAUUUCUGCAUAUGUGCAAUGUGUUAAUUGUUCACAACGUGUCUGACAUCUUUAUAGGUAAAAGAAAAGCUGAGCUGCCGUAGUAGUGAAAAUGGAGAGUCUCUUACUGUGCCCGCCACACAGCGGAGUAGAUGAGGAGAAACCGCCUCCUCUGGUGUGAACGGUGGUUAUGUGCAUGCACAGAGCCCAUGAGAGAAGGCAGUGGCUCCGAGUAUAGUUUUUAGGGCUUCCGCAGCUCAUGGGCUGAGCCAGUUUCACCCCUGUCAUCACCAACCAUGCAGUCACGCAUGCAUACAAACUACUUCAGUUCCAUUGCGCACCCCCUUUGCCUUCCUCCCGUUGAGAAUCUCUUCCCCCCUGCAGGGAGUGUGGUCGACCAAAGGCCUCUGAUCCGUGGAACACGAUGCCUGGCUGGUGCAGAAGUCAGGCCUCCCCCCGGCGGCUCUUGGCCAAGGGGCCGAGGGUGACAAGGGUGCUCAGCUG